GACGAACGCUGGCGGCGUGCUUAACACAUGCAAGUCGAACGGAAAGGCCCUGCUUUUGUGGGGUGCUCGAGUGGCGAACGGGUGUGUAACACGUGAGUAACCUGCCCUUGACUUUGGGAUAACUUCAGGAAACUGGGGCUAAUACCGGAUAGGAGCUCCUGCUGCAUGGUGGGGGCUGGAAAGUUUCGGCGGUUGGGGAUGGACUGGCGGCUUAUCAGUUUGUUGGUGGGGUAGUGGCCUACCAAGGCUUUGACGGGUAGCCGGCCUGAGCGGGUGACCAGCGACAUGGGGACUGAGAGACGGAGCAGACGCCUACGGGAGGCAGCAGUGGGGAAUAUUGCACAAUGGGCGGAAGCGUGAUGCAGCAACGCCGCGUGCGGGAUGACGGCCUUCGGGUUGUAAACCGCUUUCGCCUGUGACGAAGCGUGAGUGACGGUAAUGGGUAAAGAAGCACCGGCUAACUACGUG
rnacentral:rRNA from 1 species